AUUGAACGCUGGCGGCAGGCCUAACACAUGCAAGUCGAGCGGUAGAGAGAAGCUUGCUUCUCUUGAGAGCGGCGGACGGGUGAGUAAUGCCUAGGAAUCUGCCUAGUGGUGGGGGAUAACGUUCGGAAACGGACGCUAAUACCGCAUACGUCCUACGGGAGGAAGCGGGGGAUCUUCGGACCUCGCGCCAGUAGCUGAGCCUUGGUCGGAUUAGCUAGUUGGUGAGGUAAUGGCUCACCAAGGCGACGAGCCGUAACUGGUCUGAGAGGAUGAUCAGUCACACUGGAACUGAGACACGGUCCAGACUCCUACGGGAGGCAGCAGUGGGGAAUAUUGGACAAUGGGCGAAAGCCUGAUCCAGCCAUGCCGCGUGUGUGAAGAAGGUCUUCGGAUUGUAAAGCACUUUAAGUUGGGAGGAAGGGUAGUAACCUAAUACGUUGCUACUUUGACGUUACCGACAGAAUAAGCACCGGCUAACUUCGUGCCAGCCGCCGCCGUAACAC
rnacentral:rRNA from 1 species